GCAAGUCGAGCGAACUGAUUAAAAGCUUGCUUCUAUGACGUUAGCGGCGGACGGGUGAGUAACACGUGGGCAACCUGCCUGUAAGACUGGGAUAACUUCGGGAAACCGAAGCUAAUACCGGAUAGGAUCUUCUCCUUCAUGGGAGAUGAUUGAAAGAUGGUUUCGGCUAUCACUUACAGAUGGGCCCGCGGUGCAUUAGCUAGUUGGUGAGGUAACGGCUCACCAAGGCAACGAUGCAUAGCCGACCUGAGAGGGUGAUCGGCCACACUGGGACUGAGACACGGCCCAGACUCCUACGGGAGGCAGCAGUAGGGAAUCUUCCGCAAUGGACGAAAGUCUGACGGAGCAACGCCGCGUGAGUGAUGAAGGCUUUCGGGUCGUAAAACUCUGUUGUUAGGGAAGAACAAGUACAAGAGUAACUGCUCGUACCUUGACGGUACCUAACCAGAAAGCCACGGCUAACUACGUGCCAGCAGCCGCGGUAAUACGUAGGUGGCAAGCGUUAUCCGGAAUUAUUGGGCGUAAAGCGCGCGCAGGCGGUUUCUUAAGUCUGAUGUGAAAGCCCACGGCUCAACCGUGGAGGGUCAUUGGAAACUGGGGAACUUGAGUGCAGAAGAGAAAAGCGGUAAUUCCACGUGUAGCGGUGAAAUGCGUAGAGAUGUGGAGGAACACCAGUGGCGAAGGCGGCUUUUUGGUCUGUAACUGACGCUGAGGCGCGAAAGCGUGAGGGAGCAAACAGGAUUAGAUACCCUGGUAGUCCACGCCGUAAACGAUGAGUGCUAAGUGUUAGAGGGUUUCCGCCCUUUAGUGCUGCAGCUAACGCAUUAAGCACUCCGCCUGGGGAGUACGGUCGCAAGACUGAAACUCAAAGGAAUUGACGGGGGGCCCGCACAAGCGGUGGAGCAUGUGGUUUAAUUUGAAGCAACGCGAAGAACCUUACCAGGUUUUGACAUCCUCUGACAACUCUAGAGAUAGAGCGUUCCCCUUCGGGGGACAGAGUGACAGGUGGUGCAUGGUUGUCGUCAGCUCGUGUCGUGAGAUGUUGGGUUAAGUCCCGCAACGAGCGCAACCCUUGAUUUUAGUUGCCAGCAUUUAGUUGGGCACUCUAAGGUGACUGCCGGUGACAAACCGGAGGAAGGUGGGGAUGACGUCAAAUCAUCAUGCCCCUUAUGACCUGGGCUACACACGUGCUACAAUGGAUGGUACAAAGGGCUGCAAGACCGCGAGGUCAAGCCAAUCCCAUAAAACCAUUCUCAGUUCGGAUUGUAGGCUGCAACUCGCCUACAUGAAGCUGGAAUCGCUAGUAAUCGCGGAUCAGCAUGCCGCGGUGAAUACGUUCCCGGGCCUUGUACACACCGCCCGUCACACCACGAGAGUUUGUAACACCCGAAGUGGGUGGAGUAACCGUAAGGAGCUAGCCGCCUAAGGUGGGACAGAUGAUUGGGGUGAAGUCGUAAGCA
rnacentral:rRNA from 2 species